UAACCCCAAAGCACCAACCACACCAACGGAGAGUUCCCUGCCACAGGCAGCGAUUAAACACGAGGGUCCUUCGUCGCCCACGCUGUGGGAAGGACUUGGCCUCACUGAGCCUCCAGGUCCGUGGCUUGAAGAUGCUGGCCCUCAAGUCAGCCUGGGGCUGGAGGGAUGGACUAUACCGCUUCCAUCGUGCUGCUGCCUUUGCCUCUAUCAUGCAUAUCCCCUGCCUCCAUCAUGCAUAUACCACAUGUGGGCAUCGGCUAAGACUGACCUAUCUAUCGGGUGCACGCUUCUGCCAGCCAUACCUAUGAUCCAGAGCCUUUACAAGUCUACAGGAUCCAGUGGUUUUACCUUCAUUUGACUCCA